UGUUCUGUCGCCUGGGUGUGUGACGUCACUGCGCUCGAUAAGGAAGUGGAGAGAACUUCUCUUUAAGUUCUUUUCUUGUUUGUUCUUCGUGUCCAUUAAAUGUAGUUUAAACUGUAGGCGAUUUAACCAGAAAGUUCAGUUUAAUGCGCUUUAAUUAUUGUUUAUAACCGUGCUUUAUAAUAAACCUUUAUAAUGGAGAUUCCUCACCUGACAGAAGACGAAAUGGCCGAAGUGAAGAAGAAUUGCAUGAAAAAAAUAAAUGUUGGGGAGGUGGCAGCGUGAAGCGGAGGAAAGGCGGCAGCGUGUAGAGGAGGCGCCGCUGCAGGAUGAAGAGAAUCCAAAUAGAGAACUAGAUAUUCUUGGCUUGGGGGAGUCUGUGGGCAAACCUUGCACUGAAUUUCGCCAGUCUGCAGCUGCAUCGCACAGAUAUAUUCGACCUGGCGAUGUUGGUGGUCUACCGAGCACAAUACAUUGUGUUCUUGUGGUGUGUAGGCCCAGGAUUUUCUGACAACCAGCAGCAUGAAGUGCAUCUUUAUUUUUGCAGAAGUGCUUCAAAUGUACAUACAGAUACAAAUAUGAAUAUGGUAACGAGCUGGUAAUGAGCUGGGCACAAGAAACCAUUGCACUGAUACGUCAGUAUGACCCCAUGUGGAAUGCCUCCGAGGUGCUCGAACUGAGUGGGGUCCAGAGAGACCACCUGAACCACGAAGUGGGUCUUUAUUUGUGCAGAAGCAUAGAAAUUUCUAUGUAAAUUAUAGAUUUUCUAUAAAUUUUAUUUUUUCAUCAACUAAAGAGAUUAUUGUAAAACAUGGUAUAGCUGUUUGGAAGACUGGUGUCUGCACUGAGGUAAAGCUGGUUUUAUAUUCACACUUCUGGGUUCAAUAACUUUCUAAUUUAAUGUGCAAUAAAGUCAUUUUUGACUAAUAGACGUGUGAUUUUAAUGUAACAGUGUAAAUACUCAC